rnacentral:rRNA from 1 species
GACGAACGCUGGCGGCGUGCUUAACACAUGCAAGUCGAACGGUAAGGCUCCAGCUUGCUGGGGUACACGAGUGGCGAACGGGUGAGUAACACGUGGGUGACCUGCCCUGCACUUCGGGAUAAGCCUGGGAAACUGGGUCUAAUACCGGAUAGGACCGCACCGUGAGGGUGUGGUGGAAAGUUUUUUCGGUGUGGGAUGGGCCCGCGGCCUAUCAGCUUGUUGGUGGGGUAAUGGCCUACCAAGGCGGCGACGGGUAGCCGGCCUGAGAGGGUGGACGGCCACAUUGGGACUGAGACACGGCCCAGACUCCUACGGGAGGCAGCAGUGGGGAAUAUUGCACAAUGGGCGGAAGCCUGAUGCAGCGACGCCGCGUGGGGGAUGACGGCCUUCGGGUUGUAAACUCCUUUCACCAUCGACGAAGGGUUUCUGACGGUAGAUGGAGAAGAAGCACCGGCUAACUACGUGCCAGCAGCCGCGGUAAUACGUAGGGUGCGAGCGUUGUCCGGAAUUACUGGGCGUAAAGAGCUCGUAGGUGGUUUGUCGCGUCGUCUGUGAAAUUCCGGGGCUUAACUCCGGGCGUGCAGGCGAUACGGGCAUAACUUGAGUACUGUAGGGGAGACUGGAAUCCCUGGUGUAGCGGUGAAAUGCGCAGAUAUCAGGAGGAACACCGGUGGCGAAGGCGGGUCUCUGGGCAGUAACUGACGCUGAGGAGCGAAAGCAUGGGGAGCGAACAGGAUUAGAUACCCUGGUAGUCCAUGCCGUAAACGGUGGGCGCUAGGUGUGGGUUUCCUUCCACGGGAUCCGUGCCGUAGCUAACGCAUUAAGCGCCCCGCCUGGGGAGUACGGCCGCAAGGCUAAAACUCAAAGGAAUUGACGGGGGCCCGCACAAGCGGCGGAGCAUGUGGAUUAAUUCGAUGCAACGCGAAGAACCUUACCUGGGCUUGACAUAUACAGGAUCGCGCCAGAGAUGGUGUUUCCCUUGUGGCUUGUAUACAGGUGGUGCAUGGUUGUCGUCAGCUCGUGUCGUGAGAUGUUGGGUUAAGUCCCGCAACGAGCGCAACCCUUGUCUUAUGUUGCCAGCACGUUGUGGUGGGGACUCGUAAGAAACUGCCGGGGUUAACUCGGAGGAAGGUGGGGAUGAUGUCAAAUCAUCAUGCCCCUUAUGUCCAGGGCUUCACACAUGCUACAAUGGUCGGUACAGUGGGUUGCCAGUCCGUGAGGGCGAGCUAAUCCCGCAAAGCCGGUCUCAGUUCGGAUCGGGGUCUGCAACUCGACCCCGUGAAGUCGGAGUCGCUAGUAAUCGCAGAUCAGCAACGCUGCGGUGAAUACGUUCCCGGGCCU